UUGCGUAUGGAGGACUAAAAGUGCCAAAAUUAAAUAAAUAAAUACAUCAUUAAAUAAUUAAUUAAAUAUGUCAUUAAUUAAUUAAAAUUGGAAUUAAAUAUUUCAUUAAUUAAUUAAAAUUGGAAUUAAAUAUGUCAUUAAUUAAUUAAAAUUGGAAUUAAAUACUUAAAUGUGUUAUUAAAUAAAUAUAUCAUUAAAUAAUUAAAUAUGUCAUUAAUUAGUUAAAAUUGGAAUUAAAUAUGUCAUUAAUUAAUUAAAAUUGGAAUUAAAUACAUAAAUGUGUUAUUAAAUAUGUCAUUAAUUUAUUAAAAUAACAAUUAUUUUAAGUAAAAAACAUAUUUCAUUAUUUCACGAUUUAAUUAAUUAUUUCAUGGUCCUUGUGUUGCAGUGGAUCAUGAAUUAAUUUUAUCUGUCAACCUCGCCCGUCAAAGUCGGUGGGCGGAUCCUAACACCUGAUUGGUUACCCUGCACAUCAAGUCAAGGCAAAUCGAUUCCAGAUAAUGGAUUGACGCAGAGCUUGUGAACACAUUCCGAUACACUGGGUGGCGCUAUUCACCUCUACGUUGGUUUGGAUACUCAAUAAAACAAAACUUUAUUAGCAACCGCUAAAGACUCGGUCCUCUUUCCCAAAUGUUGAUACAUGCGGUGCAAGACAAAUUUUCCUUUAGCAUUUCCUUUAGCAUCUACUCGGCGCGCCACGGCUCGUCUCGGUUUAGUUGUUUUUCCAUUACAUUGAGUACCACCUCAUCGUGGGUUGAGUCGUCAUAGCACGGUGGCCCGAAAGUCCCUUACCGUCAUUUUUGUGCGACACAAACGCAAUGCAACAAUGUACAUGGAGGCGAUAGUACACCUGCUGCUCGGUCUGUGGCUUUCUGUCAGAUUCAGAGUAACAGAAGAGUCGGAGAAAGCUGAGAGCGGCGAGUCGAAACACUCAGGAGACACACAGGAGAGUUUGGGAGGCGAUACAGCAGUAUCAAGCUGAAGACAAGAGGAUAUGAACGAGACGACAUAUAAGGAUGCUCUCUGAUGAGACUUCAUGGGAUUUACCUGAAGCAGCAGCACAUGAGCCUGCAGUGGCACAAGGUGUAGAGGAGGAGGGCAGAGAUGUACAGGAUGCACUGAUGCACUACGUGUCAUGCAAAAGUUAAAAGUUGUUCUUCUUGUUAUACUUCUGUUUUUCUGUCCCCGGACCGCUAUUGUUUUCUUUAAUGCAAUUCUGACAAUAAACUUUUGUAGAUGUG